AAAUGAAAUAAGCAACAACCAAAGACAGCAGGUGCUAUUCGCUUAAUAUCCUGCCGAGGUUUGCGCCCUAAUUGCUAAAAGUACCUCACGCGCAUUGUGUGACUACUGCUGCAUAAGGAUGGUAGAAACGCAUUUUUCUGCUGCGUGUCUACUGCAAAACCCCGGCUGUGAAAGCUGGGGUUUGUUGUUUUUGUA
rfam:Tolypothrix campylonemoides VB511288 scaffold_1, whole genome shotgun sequence.